rnacentral:rRNA from 1 species
UACGUAGGUGGCAAGCGUUGUCCGGAUUUACUGGGCGUAAAGAGCGCGCAGGCGGUCAGAUAAGCCGAAUGUGAAAGCCCCCGGCUCAACUGGGGAGGGUCAUUCGAUACUGUUCGACUCGAAGGCAGGAGAGGGAAGUGGAAUUCCCGGUGUAGUGGUGAAAUGCGUAGAUAUCGGGAGGAACACCAGUGGCGAAGGCGGUUGCCUGGAGCUUUGCUGACGCUGAUGCGCGAAAGCGUGGGGAGCGAUCCGG